UUGGUUCCUGGGGUUUUAUUUUGGGCUCGGGGUUCUGAGGAGCAUUUUUCCCUUCGGCAAUAUCCAAGCUCACGUGAGCCUUCUCUUCAGGAAGAGAUGUCACAGGGAGAGCCAGGGGAUUGCUGGAAACAAGUAAGGGGGAGAUGGAGGAGGCCACGAGGGGUUGGUUUAAUGAACAGGGGAAAGAAGUAGGGUUGACAAGCAGAGUGGUGAUAGGGAUGGUCUGGGGACUGGGUGCUACAGCUGCUGUGACAGGCUGGAUCAUGUUACAGCCACCGCCUAGGCUUACAACCUUCACUGUGGUGGCAGGAACUGUGAAGAUGACAGGUGUGGGGUGGAUGAUGGGAGCAGGUUUCACACAGGGGGAAGCCUUGGCUCCUUUUCUUCUUGUGGGCUUACGCCUUACAUAUGGCUUUCGAAAUUUAGAGGGGCCAAGUGAGGGAAGCAUUAAUUUGGGUGCAGAGGACGAAGGUGGUGCUGACUGAGACUCAGACCAGGGGAAGCUGGUUCU
rnacentral:lncRNA from 1 species